rnacentral:rRNA from 1 species
GAUGAACGCUGGCGGCGUGCCUAAUACAUGCAAGUCGAGCGAACAGACGAGGAGCUUGCUCCUCUGACGGUAGCGGCGGACGGGUGAGUAACACGUGGAUAACCUACCUAUAAGACUGGGAGAACUUCGGGAAACCGGAGCUAAUACCGGAUAAUAUAUUGAACCGCAUGGUUCAAUAGUGAAAGACGGUUUUGCUGUCACUUAUAGAUGGAUCCGCGCCGCAUUAGCUAGUUGGUAAGGUAACGGCUUACCAAGGCAACGAUGCGUAGCCGACCUGAGAGGGUGAUCAGCCACACUGGAACUGAGACACGGUCCAGACUCCUACGGGAGGCAGCAGUAGGGAAUCUUCCGCAAUGGGCGAAAGCCUGACGGAGCAACGCCGCGUGAGUGAUGAAGGUCUUCGGAUCGUAAAACUCUGUUAUUAGGGAAGAAAAAAUGUGUAAGUAACUAUGCACGUCUUGACGGUACCUAAUCAGAAAGCCACGGCUAACUACGUG